rnacentral:rRNA from 1 species
GAUGAACGCGGGCGGCGUGCCUAAUACAUGCAAGUCGAGCGAACAGACGAGGAGCUUGCUCCUCUGACGUUAGCGGCGGACGGGUGAGUAACAUGUGGAUAACCUACCUAUAAGACUGGGAUAACUUCGGGAAACCGGAGCUAAUACCGGAUAAUAUAUUGAACCGCAUGGUUCAAUAGUGAAAGACGGUUUUGCUGUCACUUAUAGAUGGAUCCGCGCCGCAUUAGCUAGUUGGUAAGGUAACGGCUUACCAAGGCGACGAUGCGUAGCCGACCUGAGAGGGUGAUCGGCCACACUGGAACUGAGACACGGUCCAGACUCCUACGGGAGGCAGCAGUAGGGAAUCUUCCGCAAUGGGCGAAAGCCUGACGGAGCAACGCCGCGUGAGUGAUGAAGGUCUUCGGAUCGUAAAACUCUGUUAUUAGGGAAGAACAAAUGUGUAAGUAACUAUGCACGUCUUGACGGUACCUAAUCAGAAAGCCACGGCUAACUACGUG